AAGAAAAUUGUCAAAUAUUUCGCAUUGUGAGUUAUCUCCGAGAAGAGAAAUAAAUCUGAUUGAUUAUCAUUUAAACUCUAGCAGCCAAAAGGAAAAGUUGGAAAAGAAUUCUGCAAAAUCAGCUCAAUAGGUCCACAUUAAAGAGCAGAAGAUUCAGUAGCUAAAACAAACGACAAAGGCAACGUGAAACAUCAUCGAAAAGAGCAACGAAGGACACCAAGUCUGCAACAGUGUUCUGCUUUCGACUACGCGUUCAUUUCGAAUUUGUAAUUCGGCUAUUACCAAUUGUUGCUGGCGUUUCCAUUUGCUCAAUGGGGUUUCAGUUGACUUUCGCACAGGCGUUCCAAUAUAUCUACUAUCGUCUCGGCUAAAGCCGGCACUAUAAAGCGGUACUUGCUUCUUAACCUGGUUAUUGCUUUCUAGAACUUUGAGUAAGUCCUUCACCGAUAACCGAGACAUUUGUUUAGAAGAACACAUUACCUGGCUGCACCUAGAUGCUAUUUCCUGUUAUUGGGACGUACAUAAAAUAAAUUCAUGUUUUUCAGAUUGUUGUUCUCUUCCAACUUUUUAUUAUCUAAUACAAGUUGUUUUUGUAAUUCUACAAUUUGCUGUUCAAGCUUGUAUAUCUUCUCUUCCAACUUUUUAUUAUCUAAUACUAAUUUUCUAGUUUGGCCGCACUAGAGUGUCAAA